CUAUUAGAGUAAGAGCUGACUCUUAAAUGGUCUUAGAGUGCCAAUUAGAGAGUACUAAAAAAGGAUGUCCUGAACAUGAGCCGACCCAAAAUUCACGAGUUGACCCCACUAGAUGAGUUAACCCCUUUAAAAUAUGAGUUGACUCUAGAACGAUCUCAGGGUACAGAUAGAGAGCAAUAAAAAUUGGGCACAACUUAAGCAGACUCCAGAAAUUCAUUAAUUGACUCUACUGGAACUCGAGUCUACUCCAGAUUGAUCGUAGUUAGAAGAUAGAAAUCUAUACAAAGAUAU
rnacentral:lncRNA from 1 species